CCUACGGGGGGCAGCAGUAGGGAAUCUUCCGCAAUGGACGAAAGUCUGACGGAGCAACGCCGCGUGAGCGAAGAAGGUCUUCGGAUCGUAAAGCUCUGUUGUCGGGGAAGAACAAGUACGGUAGGAAAUGGUCGUACCUUGACGGUACCCGACGAGAAAGCCACGGCUAACUACGUGCCAGCAGCCGCGGUAAUACGUAGGUGGCAAGCGUUGUCCGGAAUUAUUGGGCGUAAAGCGCGCGCAGGCGGUCCUUUAAGUGUGAUGUGAAAUCUUGCGGCUCAACCGCAAGCCGGCAUUGGAAACUGGGGGACAUGGGUGCAGGAGAGGAAAGCGGAAUUCCACGUGUAGGGGUGAAAAGCGUAAGGAUGUGGAGGAACACCAGUGGCCAAGGCGGGUUUCUGGUCUGUAACUGACGCUGAGGUGGGAAAGGGUGGGGAGCAAACAGGAUUAGAUACCCGAGUAGUC
rnacentral:rRNA from 1 species